rnacentral:lncRNA from 1 species
CAAAAGUCAGGUCGGAUUAAGCCAUAGUACGGGAAAAACUAUGCUACCUGUGAGCCCCGUCCAAGGACGUUAAAAGAAGUCAGGCCACUACAAGUGCCAUAACUUGAGCAAAUUAUGCAGCCUGUAGCUCCACCUGGGAAGGUGUAAAAAAUCUGGGAGGCCACAAAACAUGGAAGC